CAGCAGCCGCGGGAAUACGAAGGGUGCAAGCGUUAAUCGGAAUUACUGGGCGUAAAGCGCACGUAGGCGGCUUGGUAAGUUAGAGGUGAAAGCCCGGGGCUCAACCCCGGAAUUGCCUUUGAAACUGGAAAGCUAGAAUCUUGGAGAGGUCAGUGGAAUUCCGAGUGUAGAGGUGAAAUUCGUAGAUGUUCGGAAGAACACCAGUGGCGAAGGCGACUGACUGGACAAGUAUUGACGCUGAGGUGCGAAAGCGUGGGGAGCAAACAGGAUUAGAUACCCCGGUAGUCCCUGUCUCUUAUAC
rnacentral:rRNA from 1 species